UCCCUGAUGGCUCAGUGGUAAAGAAUCUGCCUGCCAAUGCAGGAGACACAGAUUCAAUCUCUGGGUCAGGGAG
rnacentral:tRNA from 1 species